rnacentral:lncRNA from 1 species
AGAAGCAAACUGGAAAUAAGCAAACAACAUGGUAAACACACAAGCAUAAACAUGUCAUGAUGCACAAGCAAGUAUGAUGCAUGUCCGGUUUAAUGAGGCAUGGCAUGGCAAUAUGCACAAACAACACUACAAGUUAAGUGGAGCUCAAUAUGCAACGAGUUGCAUAUUUACGAAACACCACAUCAAUUAUUUAGUUUCUCUCUCGAUUAUGUACCCAACACUAUUACAUGUUGUUAUAAACAUGGCAAGAGGUGAAGCAUAAAUAAACUAACUAUCUAGGCAAAUUUAAGUGAGGCCGGAAACAACAAAUGAUAAUUCCGGAAAAAUCCCCAUAUGUCAUUUAGCAAUAUAAUGCAAACACAAUUUUAACCAUUUAAAUGUUGUGAACAUGAUACAGAUGACAUAUGCAAGUCUUAAGCAAUUUUAUGAAAAUGUUGACAUGAGCAAGAUACGAGGUAUUUGUCACCGUGGCGGAAAGAAAGGGUGUCACGGCGACAAAUCUGAAAAUGAUGCCACGGCAACAUAUCGUUUCCGGUAUCUCAUGGAGAUACCGGUGCAAAAGGAGGCGUGCGGAUGUGUGGACCACGCAAGAGAUGCGGAGUGAUCCCGGAUACCGGGUGUCCCACAUGGCGCUGGCAUGGAAAAAGAGGGGCAUCACAAGCGACAAUUCGAUCACGGUGCAAACACGAACAUCUCAUACAACACACAUGCAUUCGUUCACGGGUGUCGUCUCGGGGUUAUACCUUCAAAGCAUGCAUUUCGGAGUGGUUCAAUCUCGUUGAGGGAAGUAGUGGUACUCGCGGGUCGUAGUGGAAGUAGUUUUCCUCGUGCCGUAGUGGAAGUAGACGUUCUCGCGACGGAAGUUGUACAUGUCGGCGGUAGUCGAACUUGGCGUAUCCAAGGUCUCCGGGGGUCGUCAGGUACUUGCGAUCUUGGUCGGGGCAGCACGCCGUAGUCGAACUCGAGGCAGUCUUGAUGGGAUCCAAGACAGAACAUCACAAAAAUGCUUUGGUUGACAGUGUUCAAAAAGGACAGAACGAACUGGUAGCAUGCGCUGGCAGCAGGGUUUGCGGACAUGGUGCCCUUAGUAGCAGUGGGGGUUCAGGGCCAUGGGAAGGCAGGACCAACAAGAGAAAGUUUCAAACUGGAGCUGCUGCUCGCAGGAUGGAGCUCGAGGCAUGGCGGGGCUCUUGGUGGUCGCCAACGGUGGAGGAGGCGGCAAAGGGCGUGAGGGUGAGGAGCAGCACGACUGUAGUGGGGCAAGCACCAAGGAGGCAGAGGCGCGGGAACGACGGCUCCGGUGCGGGGCUGCCUGGAUCUCACCGUAGUCGUGGUCAGAGGCGGGCGGCGCGACUUCCUAAGGAGCUUGGGGCGGACAUGGGGGCUCCUGCUCCUGCCGAAGACGGUGACAGUAGACCUGCGAGCCGAGGCGACGGAGGAGGGAAACGGCGAGGAGAGGAAGCAGGGCGCGGCGAACCAUGGAGGUCGGCGGAGCCAUGGCUGUGCGGGUCAAGCGAGCUCGCAGUCGGGACGGGAGGAGGCGCAUGAGGCGCAGGCAAAGACGAAGGGAGAAGAUAGAGGGCGACAGACAACGAGACUUCGCGUCGAUUGCCGACAGCAGGAGGUGGACGCGCUGGCAUGGGGAGCUCCUCUCCCUAGCGCGAUGCGUGGGUGCGUGUGUGAGGCGUUGGAGGGAGGAGGCAGAGGAUCGAGGAUGAUCCCGAUCGGGACAAG